UCCGGCUUGUCACCGGCGGUUUCCCCAGAGUGCCCACCGUUACAUGCUGGCAACUGAGGAUGGGGGUUGCGCUCGUUGCGGGACUUAACCCAACAUCUCACGACACGAGCUGUCGACAGCCAUGCACCACCUGUGGCCGUGCCCCGAAGGGAAGCCGUGUUUCCACGGCGGUCACCCACAUGUCAAGCCCAGGUAAGGUUCUUCGCGUUGCAUCGAAUUAAUCCACAUGCUCCGCCGCUUGUGCGGGCCCCCGUCAAUUCCUUUGAGUUUUAGCCUUGCGGCCGUACUCCCCAGGCGGGGCGCUUAAUGCGUUAGCUACGGCACGGAUUCCGUGGAAGGAACCCACACCUAGCGCCCACCGUUUACGGCGUGGACUAC
rnacentral:misc_RNA from 1 species